AGUGAACGCUGGCGGUAGGCCUAACACAUGCAAGUCGAACGGCAGCACAGUAAGAGCUUGCUCGUACGGGUGGCGAGUGGCGGACGGGUGAGGAAUACAUCGGAAUCUACUUUUUCGUGGGGGAUAACGUAGGGAAACUUACGCUAAUACCGCAUACGACCUACGGGUGAAAGCAGGGGAUCUUCGGACCUUGCGCGAUUGUAUGAGCCGAUGUCGGAUUAGCUAGUUGGCGGGGUAAAGGCCCACCAAGGCGACGAUCCGUAGCUGGUCUGAGAGGAUGAUCAGCCACACUGGAACUGAGACACGGUCCAGACUCCUACGGGAGGCAGCAGUGGGGAAUAUUGGACAAUGGGCGCAAGACUGAUCCAGCCAUACCGCGUGGGUGAAGAAGGCCUUCGGGUUGUAAAGCCCUUUUGUUGGGAAAGAAAAGCAGCAGGUUAAUACCCCGCUGUUCUGACGGUACCCAAAGAAUAAGCACCGGCUAACUUCGUG
rnacentral:rRNA from 1 species